GACCAUGUUCAAUUUUACUCUCAAGGAAGACAACAGUUUCCUUGGGAGGACUUCUACUGUUUCUACAGGACUGAGAAGCCUUGAAAUUAUCCCAAGCAGAGGUCUUGCUUGUGUGGUUCAUCUGAUUUUAGAGGAAUUUCACCUGUAGGAGCAAUAAGUGGAUCGACUGGAUCAGGAUUGGAGUGACAACAAUGCAUGCAAGAAUGGAGGGGUUGAUGAAAAACAUGAGGUGUGCUUGCCCAGUGGACCAGCCCAGAAGGUCAGUGAUAUCCUGACUUCCAUCAGAAAAGAGGUGGCCAGCAGGGAGGUGGAGGUGACUGUCCCAGUCUAGUCUGCCCUGUGAGGCCCAACCAGGACUACUGCAUCCAAGUCUGGGGCCCUCAACACAGGAAAGAUGCGGAGCAUUUGGAGAAAGUCCAGAGGAGGACCACAGAUGAUCAGAGAGCUGGAGAACCUCUUCUAUGAAGACAGACUGAAGGAGAUUGGCUUGUUCAGCCUGGAAAAGAGAAGGCUGAGGGGAGACAUCAUUGUGGCCUUCUAAUAUUUAAAGAGUAUUUAUAAACAUGAGGGAAAUCAACUUUUUACAAGGGUAGAUAGUGAUAGGGCAAAUGAGAAUGGUUUUAAACUAAAGGAAGGGAUAUUUAGAUUAGAUGUUAGGGGGAAGAUUUUUACUGAAAGAGUUGUGAGGUGCUGUAACAGGUUGCCCAGAGAAGAUGUGGAUACUCUGUCCCUGGAAGUGUUUAAGGCCAGGUUGGAUGGGGCCCUGGGAAAUAUGAUCUAGUACUUGAUCUAACGGCUGGCAACCCUGCCUGUGGCAGGGGGAAUUGGAACUUGAUGAUCCUUGAGAUCCCCUCCAAACCAAGCCAUUCUGUGAUUCGUUCUGUGCAAGUACCUAGGGAUCUUAGAUUUUGGAACUGUUUGACAGAGCUCUUGUUAGCACUUUGGUGCAUCUAGUUUAAGGACCUGAUCCAAAGCCUGUUGAAAAGGGAGAUUUUGCAUUUACUUCAGGGGAUUUGGGGUUAGGAUCCAAAGCACCCUUUUCAGCAUAGCACAUACAAUAGCAUUAAGCAGGUGAGUAGGCUUGGUGAAGGAGAUAAAUAUUUGUGUCUUCCUAAUAUAUAGCUCAGGUUUUUUUGUUCCCUUCCACAAUUCUGUUUUGUGAAUGGGCUGUGAUAUGUGCUUUCUGAUUAGUGUUACUGAGGCAGUUCAAGAAGUUACCGCUUCUUUGCUUCUGCUGGAAUUUGCCACUGAUAUAGAUGCUUAACAAGAUGGACCUUUGAUCUAUCUCAGUAUGGCAAAUUUAUUUGUCUUGAUACCUGUGCCUGUUACUUUCUUAGCCCAUAUCCAUGCAUUCCUUGCCAUGCCUCAUCUCUCACAGUACAGGAGAAAGAAGAUAAAUCUUCAAUCCAAAAGUUCUUUCUACUUUCAAUUAUAAAACAAUAUUUUUUUUCCUGCAUAAAAUACAAAGCUUUGAAUAAUAGAAUGAACUCUCCGAAUAAGUUUUUGUGUUCAAUUACCAACCAUGGUGAAAUGCAGUGUCCUGAGAAAAUGACAUGCAAAUGCUCUCUAACUUGAUAUUUGACCGGUAAGAGGUCAGAUACAAUCAAGUUAGUGCACAGAUUCUUAUCCUUGCUCCUGUGUGUCAGGCCAUUAGGUAUGAAAACAAGAAACAAAUGUGUUUGGUUGACAUGGAUUCUCUGUCACUGAAAGUGGAGGUAAAAUCUGCAGCAUGAUUGUUCAUUUUUGUUUCAUUUUAAAGCAAAGAAAGGGCUGGUAAAAGAUUUAGGCAAUUUUUUGUUUUUUUUCCAGAGUAAGCACAAAAAAUCAGUCCUUAAUUGUGCUUCUUUUUCUUUGGUCUGUUUCCUAAGAAAGAACAUGUAUUUGGAAUUAGUAUUACCAACACUAACAAAUGCUUGUUUGUUUGUUUGUGUUUUAUUGUUUGUUUGUUUGUUUUUAUGACAAGGUUGUCAUUACUGGAAUUAUACGAUCAAUAGAAGGUAUGGAUGUGUCAAUUACAAUGAAAACAGAAACUUAAGCGUGUAACAGAAACGGAAAAUAUUUGUUCUCAUUUAGCCUGCUUCAGGUAUGUGAUUAAACUGUGAAGAAAGAGAAGAAAUUGCCAAAUAUCUAGACCAUAUUAUAUUCCUUCAUAAUGAGACAGUCAGGAUUAUCAAAUAGCUUUGAAAGGGAUCGUGCUUAAUGGAACCUGGUUAAAACAGAUAAAGAUCCAAUGAACUAUCUUUUUAUAUGUCACUAUAAAUGUAUACAUUUUUUCAUGCUAUUUGUCUGUACAACCAGCCUUCAAAUACUUAUAUCUAAGUAAGGCAUCAAUUUUAGAGCAGUGCUUUCUGGUUUAAGUUCUGUUGAAUUUAAAUAAGUGGAAAUUGUUUGCCAAUAGUCCUGGGGUCCAAGCAUUUAAUUCACAUCAAAACCUAGGUGAUGCCUUGCUCUUAAUUUAAUCUUUCUGCUUGAAUUAUCUUUUUUCUUUAAAUUAGAGCAGGAAAUUUUCUUUCAUCCGGUGGAAUUUAAUGAGCUAGAAAAAAUAUACCUUUAGAUUACAUCAAAAAUUACUGCUCUUGGAACACAAUUCAAGAAACUUACUACCUUUACUACCUAUGUUCAAAAGUUUGUAUUACCUAUUUUGAGUUGUUUCUUUUUAAUAUGCACAUUUUUAUUCUGUGUUGCAAUUAAAUAAUGAAGGCAGCCAAAUCUAAUGACUGUCAUGAUGUGAGCUUCAAUUGUAACAUUACUGCUACUUUCUGAAGCAAGAAGGGCCACAAACGUUAAUUAAGGAAAGCUGGAAAAAACAGCAGGGUGGUAACAGUAAGAAAGCAAAGCUGAUUUAAUAGACAAUUUAUUAGUGUAGAUUACAAUGUUCUUCUGUUUUCCUUAGAAUAAUAAAAUCAAUUAUAUUGACUUUUGCAUCUUGAUAAUUUUAGAUAGAAUCUAGAACUUUACAGAGUGUUCAAGCUGUAUCUUAAGCUAAACAGCUCCCAGACCCAAAAUAAUUAGUUGUGCUGGUUAACUGUUAGUUUGAACCUUGCCAUUGUUUUAGCCUAACGUAAUACUCUUUGAAACAGUGCUCAGGAACAGCGCUUACUCAAAGACUGCAUAUUUCAAGGACCAUUACUGUUAAAAGUUUGAGCACUGCUAUUGUGGUUUUGAGGUUGAGGAGAAAAAAAGUUUAGCAAAGAAGGGGGCAAAGAUAAGUUUGAAUACAAGAGAGCUUUACUGAUAUACUACAACUCCAUGGAAAACUAGUUCCUAAGAAGGAGAAGUCAUACUUUGCUUUUAAUGCCUGCCUAUAAAUUUUAAUGCUAUUUUGAGCCAAUGAAAAUUUUCUGUUUUUGUUUUCUUUCUAUGUAAAUGAAUGUAAAUUACUAAAUUCUUCAGUAGAAAUGCCCCUUGUAGUCAAAUUAUAAAGCAUGCAAUUUGAGAUUGGAUAAACUGAAAGCUGAAUUUGGCAAAUACUGUAUAACAAAACCCUGUCAGAGAUGACAUGGUUCUAUGACAAGAAAAAGUAAUUCUCUGGUACUUAGUUAUUUUGAGUACUCCUAGACUGAUCCACACUAUGGCACCACCUUAGUUUUCAUCUUCCUGUGAUUAUGGUUAAUUUGAAAGUCCAAAUCAUCUAUUCUCUGCUCAAGUUUGAACUUCACUUUGAGCCUCCUUGUAGAAAAAAGCAAAAACUAUUUUGUAGGAAGGGUAGAAGACUUGUACAGAAAAAUUUCUGAAGCACAUUAUUUUCCCCUGUGGAAUUAUUUUCUUGUAUGCACUGCUUUUGAACAAAACAGAGUGACUUGAUGUAUUAAACUUGGUUCCUGCAUAGAUUUGAGUAAACAGGUAAAGAACUAAACAAACAAACAAACAAACAAAAAAACCCACUAAACAAAACAAACAAAAGUAAAUAAAAAUAUUGCCAUUUUUUUCUCCCAAAUAAGGCACUUUUUAUGCUCACUGAAGAUAUGCUUCAUUUAAAUUCUUUACUCUGCCAACCAAAGCAUUUUUCUAAAUGACAAAUUUAAAUUUUGCAGUUUGCCUUAAAUAUCUGCUUUUCUCUUGUGUACUGUUAUUGUGUACUGUAUUUCUCUUGCUAAUGAUUCUCUAAAGACCCAGCAUUUCUAAAUGAUAUGUCAAUAUAUCUUUUCUAUUGUGUCAAUUGGAAAUUUAAAAAUAAUCAAUAAUAUUUUUAUGACAUGUUUACUGCUUUCAUAGAUACUCUUUAACACUCACUAUCACGAUUCAAGAUGGCACUACAAUUAUUUUUAUGCCAAAAGUUAUGUGCAACUUUAAAAAUCAUCAUCAAAAAUGUGUCUUAGAACCAUUAUAAACUUAUUGCUGCUGGGAAUUCAGUUAUUUGCUAUCUAAGAUAUGUGUAAUGUUUUCCCACUAUAGCAAUAAAUCUUCAAAGUCCAAGCAAAUAUAAUGUAUACCGAAUUAUUUUUUUUUCCCCAGGUUGGGCUUUCUUGGUUAAGCAGGUCUUAAGACCACUUUCUUGGUCUUAACCAGGCUUUUAUUUUUCACUCAAUCUUUUUGCUGCUCCUGACUUGGAAAACUGCACAAAAUUGAAAAGUAGGACAGCAAUGCAAAGAAGAGAGUCUUUUAAGCCCUGGGCUACUGCUAAGGCCCACAGUAUUACUUGAUGCCCCAGCAGUGCUACAAUCUUCAGUUAAAAACAACAACAAAACAAACAAGCAAACAAAAAAACUAGAACUUUUUUUUUUUUUAAAGAAUGAAAGUGCAAGUCAUGUUCAUCUUAAACAAAAGAGGAAUCUGACACGGUAAAAACAUGCAGCAUGUUCCACGUUUCUCCAGGAGAAAGCACUGGGCUUUAAUUCUAGACUUACAGAACUUCAGGGGGAAAAGGUGCGUUGAAAAGUUGUGCAUUGUUCAUCUUCAGAGUGUUGACAAAAUGUUGUGUUGGAAGGGUGGAAACUUGAACAGCUUGUAUAAUUUGAACACCAGUGCUCCUAUUAUUCUUGUUUUUGUACAUUACCAGCCUCAAGCCACUGAGAAUUUUCCUCUUUAAUUUCACCAAAUAUAUAUGUAAAGAGAUAUUUAUAGUGAUGAAUGUGCUACCCUAAAAAUGAGUCUACUAUUAGUGUAUGGAGGAGAAAAAAAAAGGGGGGAGAUAAAGAUGAAAGUGUAAUUCUUAACAGCAAAGUGGAAAUCAUAAAGCAGUGUUGAUCCUGUUCCUCCUGCACCUUUCCUACAAAUCUGUGAAUGUGAUUUCAUAUAAUUUAUUUCCAUAAUGAGCUCAUACAAAAGCUGCUCCAAAGUAAUGUCUCCUAUUUUAAGUCGGCCCAUAAUGUCAGCAGUGGAUGUUUGUGCUAUGGUAAUAGAGUUUGCAUCUUCCCACCAGUAUCCCAUUACAUUUUGUUGCCCCGUGACAGAUGGUAGCAGUGGGACAGUUUGACAAAACGAUGUCUGAAAUGGAAGUGCAUAUGAAGCAGAAGUGUAUCACUAAAUUCCUCCAUGGGUGAAAAAUGGUAUCCAUUGACAUUCGUUGAUGCAUUUUUGGAGACCAAACAGUGGAUGUGAGCACAGUGAGGCAGUGGGUGGUGCAUUUCAGCAGUGGCAACAGUGAUGUGAAAGACAAGCCAUCUUCUGAACAUGCACAUCUACCACAUCACAAAAUAAAGAGUGUUUUGAUCAGCUACUCCAUGAGAAUUGGAGGGUUGUGAAUAGGAAACUGUGUACACAGCUGAAUAUCAGCUUUAAUACAUUGGAAAUAAUGCUGGCAACACUUCACAAAGUUUGUGCCCCAAAGGUCUCAUGAACGUUUGCAAGAGAUCAGAUAGAGCACCAUAUGCAAGUUUGUCAGGACCUACUGAACUCAUAUGAAGCUGAAGGCAAGAGUUUCAAGGAUCAUGCCAUCAAAGUGACAAGACAUGAUGUCAUUUCUAAAAGUCAGGGUCCAAACAGCAGCCCAUGGAGUGGUGGUGUGAAUUCUUCGUCAAAGUAAAAGUUCAAGAUACAGCUCUCAGUUGGUAAAGUGAUAUGCUCUGUCUUUUCGAAUAGGAAAGAGGUGAUCUUUCAAGAUUUCCUGGAACCUGGAAACCAUGAACUCUGACUGCUACACUGUGAUGUUGACUAAACUGAGGGCUGGAACUUCCAGCGUCAGGCCUAAGAAGAAGACAACCUUUCUCCUGCAGCAGGAAAAUGCCAGGCCCUGUACUAGUUAUAAGAUGGUUAUUUAUAAGAAGUUAUAAGCACAUGGACAAUCUUGUUUGGACUGUCCUACUGCACCCAUCAAAUAGUCUGGAUUUAGCCCCGUCCGACUUCCAUUUGAUGAAAGAUGGACUGCAUACGUAAUGUUUCUGUAGCAAAAAAUUGUCACAGCAGCUGUGAAACAGUGGUUCACCUCUACUGUUGCACAUUUUCACAAGCUCAGCAUAUGGGAUCUUGUUCAUCACUGGCAAAAACGCAUAGCUAAUGGUGAUGACUGUGUUUAAAAUAGUGUUUUGGAGCUGAGAAUUUGUUCUAUCAAACAGUGUUAUUGUUCUCAUUGUAUUUGUUGUAGUUUCCCUAUCAAAAAAAUAGGGGGCAUUACUUUCAGAACAACUUACGUAGAUUACUAAAGUGUGAGAAAGUUAUCCUGCCAAACUAGCAUAUUUGAUUAGUUUAAAUUAUGCCCAUAGAACAACUUGCAUCCCCCUAGCCCCCCAUUUUGAAUUGUCUGCUGCUGUCACAGACACAGCCACACCACUGCAGUAGGAAGGCUCCUCGGCCUUUCUACUUCCUCCUUUAGCUCUACCAGAAGGCUGGGCAGAUCAUCCGCCUGCUGACACCGCACAAAGGUGGUAUCCCUGCUGCCUUCCUGCAGCAGUGACAGGGCCAGGCAUUCUCCACAGCCUGAGACGUGAACUGCGGCAUGGACGUUCAUGCUUUCAGUCUGAGUCUCCACGUUCCUUUUAGCAACAGCCCGCCGCCGUGUGGAGACCAUACUUGCACCUGUGUGUGUCCAGGGAGCAAUGACCUGUUAGGUGACCCGUUAAGUGUUAACUCCUAAGCCCCAUCCUGUAAGGCAAGGUGCCGUGCCCUGCCUGUGCGAACGGCCGGGCAUAAACGUCCAUACCGUUCCCCUGACUCGCUGCGGCCGCUGGGCGCCGCCCUUAUUUUCACGGGGUGGGGGCGCCACCGACACUCCUCGCUCCUCCCUCACGCGUCAGAGUAGCCGCGCUGCCGGGGGAAGGGGAGUUCCUCGCUCUCCCUCAGCCUCUUAGAGCUUCUCAGAAUGACUUAGAUGAUUUCUCUUGCUGUGAUUUGGACCUUCGAAGAACGGUCCUUCGUCGUGAGGCACUGCUACCAGGCUGAUCCGUUCGAGGUUGGCCCUGAAAUGGCGGCUGCAGCCACUUUUAAAACUGCCGCCGGCACUCCUCGCUCUGCCCAUGCGUGUCAGAGCCGCCGCGCUGCCGAGGGUAGGGGGGCAGCCUCACUCUUCCUCAGCUUCUUACAGCUUCUUAGACGCGGUUUUUGCCGUGAUUUGGAGCCACUAAGAAUGGUCCUUCAUUGUGAGCCUCCGCUGCCAAGCUGAUCUCCUUGGAGAAGGUGCUACUGAACAUAUUUCUACCGACCAGACACAAAAGGCAGCUGUGGGAAAGAGUGAUAAAUAACGGCUUGAAAAAAGCCAUAUUUAAAGCAGAACUAUUCUUAGAUGUUGAUCUGUGUUAUAGACACACAAAAAGGAAACUAUUACAAGAGGAGUACUGAUGUUAACAAUACCAUCCAUUUUAUCUAAGUGAGAGAAUUACAUACUUUGAAAGACAAGAAACAGAAGAAUGCAGAAACAGCCUGAGCCUACACAAUGCUCAGAAAUGUGUCUGAUUCAUCAAGCUGCACCCCAGGAUUCAUCUCGAUGGUGAAGGUGCUUUUGGAGGGGGUGGUCAGCUUGAUCUUGCACGAGUUGUGGGAGGGCAGCCGCUCCAGGUGAGAGUCAGUCAACUAAGUAGACACUUCCAGGCUGCUUUCAGUUGAUUCUGGAGCCAGCGCAUGCUUUUCCCCACAUGCAGAUAGGAGCCCGUGCAGAAGGUGUUGAGCAAGCUGGGUUCCUGUUUUUCUCUCAGCUCCUCCUGAGUGUGGUGGAGAAAGCAGAUCAUGUCCCCCAGCGGCUGCUCCCUCACACAGGUGCACUCCAGCUGCACGCAGACAGGACUUCCUUGUUGAUGUCUCCACCACGUCUCCCAGCUCCACAUGGAAGAUGUGCCCAGGGGAAGGUAUAAUGGGCAUGAGCAGAUGGUAGACGACGACGUCUUGGUGGGCACUCCAUUCUUCAUAGACUCAGGCCACCGUGAUGGCUGGUUGUAGCCAGGGCAUGAAGCUGUGGCAGGUCCUCAGCAGGCACGAAGAAGGUCAUCCACCGGCUCCUCCACCAUCUCCUCUACCAGCUGGCACUUGUUGGCCAUGUAUGGCGCUGGCCACUGGGUUCUCUCAACCCGAACUUCACCUAGGUCACAUGUCUCAUUCGAGUCACUGUCUUCUUCGACCUCCUCGUUGUCCUCCUCCUUGUUUCUGGAGCUUUUCUGGUUGCUGCUGCUGCAGACCAGGUUGCAUUCCACUUUCUUGAGACAGAUGUAGAGCUUAGGAAAGAUGACAAGGAUGGCAACACAUACCCAAAUCAUGCUGCUGCUCUUUGGCAAAUAUUUUGUUUUCCUGAUGCACCGCAGAAAGCCAAAGAGCAAGAAAAGGACUCCAGCAAAGGCCCAGAGCUUCCAGUGCAGCAGGGCACCAAGGAUCAGGGCUCCCUUGGCCUCCCAGCUCUUUCCCUGCCUCCCCUGCUCCAUGAUGUGAGGUGGCUGAACCAUGUUCAGACUCAGUUGCUCCACAUGCAGCUGAAUGUGCUCAUACAUAUCGCUAUUUAUGAGGUGAAUUUCCAAAUGGAUGAUUCCCAUCAGCGUUAGGAUGAUGAAGACCUGCUUGCAGAUGUUCAACCAUUCCCGGGAAAGCUGGGUUUCAUCAUGCAUGACUGUUACUUGGGAAGGCAAAAGUACUGACUUCAAACAUCUCCUCUUUCCUUAUUUAUCCUACUUUUUAUUGCUGCGUAAAAUGUCGAUAUGGUAUGAGAUAUCCAUUCGGUCAGUUGGAGUCACAUGUCCUGUCUGUGUGUGCUCUCAGCUUCUUAUGUACCUCAGGCCUGCUUACUGGCAGGGCAGUGUGAGAAACAGAGAAUACCUUGAGUCUGUGUAAACACUUUUUAACACCAACUAUAACAUCUGUUAUAUUAGUUUUCAAUGCUGUUCUGUUUACAAGUCCAAAACAUAAUACCAUACCAACAACUAUGAAGAAAAUUAACUCAAUCUCAGCUAAUACCACUAUAUACUGUACAAACUGGUGAGGAGUCUUGGAAACCUUCUAUUUCUAUUGAAAUUCAUUUAUUUUAGGAGUACUACUAGAUCAUCUAUGAGAUGUUGGGUGCCAGAAAAUGACGUGUGAAAAGAAAACUACACCAAAUAGUCUGUAUUUGCAGAAUACAUACUGUGAAUAGAUAUAGCUUGAAAUUUCUAUAAGCUCUUUGUUCAUGUACUAGUAAUAAGUACUAAGGAGAUAAAAAGAAAAAUUACAAAGUGAGACUCUGUUACAGAACUAAUUUUCUGAGUAAUAAAGUACAGCCUGUUGCAUCAACUUCAUUGACCAACAUCUUUGUGUUCAACCUGCUUCCUCAGCAGUUUUUCUAUGAGUUAUAGAGGGAGCUGUUUUUCAGCUAAUUCUUUUCCCUGCUUUGUGCUAGUUUGCCAUGGUAACUAUGCGUGCCUAAGCGCUGCAUUUAAUAACAGGUUGUGGAAUGAUAAAAUAAUAAAUUUUCUUUAAGAGUGGUAGGUUUACAAUUUUUAUAUCUAACUGAAAUGCCGCUCAGUGCAAAAGAGUAAUUUAUCUUCUCCACCAACUUAAGCUGGAGCAGAGCAGACAUUCUGGGGGAUAUAUUCCAGUCCUACUUGGGAAACUGUUUUUUCCUUUUACUAUCAGAGUGUGACAUUGUUUUUACAGAUGUUUGUUUGUUUUUUGCACUUUAGAAAUCUGAAUAUGUAGAAUCUGGAGAAGAAUAGCAGUAUUUUCUGUUAAACAUAGUCCUGAUGUUAUCAGUGGGAGCUGGAGUAUAGAAAGUUAAACCCUAGUGAGAUACGGGCAAUGUUGUUGGAGCUAAACUGGAAGCCUUGAUGAAGGGAUGGAGCAGGAAGAUCAGAUCAACGAAGCAGCUGCAGUUUCACAAUUUUGUGAAGAUGUUUUAGAGCUCAUCUGACAGCAGUCAGGCCAAGGUGAACCCAAUAAGGAUGGAAAGAAAACAGUGAGUCCUCUGGCAUAUCAAGUAUCUUCAUCUUUGACAAACAAGCAGAGUGACCAUGGCAUGACCAUACCACCUUCAGUUCAAUGAGCUUUCAGAUGACAGUUCCAUGAGUGAUAGACUAAAGUGAUUAGCUUCGAAGGACUGUUCGCUGACAGUACACAAAGGUGACUAUUACCUUUACUAACUCCUUUGUGCUUGGAGUCCCUUUCUGUUCUUUAAGUGGAGACAGGUGCAGCAGAAAAGAGCAUAUGGACCAACUGAGGAACUCUAGACUGCAUUAUUUGUUGCAGCAAUGAAGAACAGUGACUGAUAGGUUAAAUGAGAUUAUGAUGAAGAUGAGGGAAAAUGUGACAUUCAUGAGUAGCUAAACAAUCCUGUGAAUCACAGUUGUGUGAGAAGAGGUUGGAUGGCUUCCUCACCUUGAAAGUGUCUCUUUCAUAGGUGAUCAUUAUAUAACCAUGAAGCUAUCUGAGCAAUGUUAUCAACAUAGGAAAUUAUUAACUGUUCUUAUGUUGGCUUUAAUCAGCUUGAUUGCAAUUGAUGUGGUAUGACUGUAUGAAGGGAAGCAGUUCGGAAUAUAUUAGGAAUAAACCAGUGAAGCUCUAUUGGAAGGCUCGGAGUGUAAGACUUGAUCUGCUGUAGCAACUUUCCUGUAUAUUACCCAACAAUUUUGUCCAGGCCAAAGAGCUGCAUAUGUAUUUUAACAAUGAGAAUUGUGUUAGGUUACAUUAUAUUAUCUAGGGACAAUUGUGUAUUUGUAUUAGUGAUCAUUAUUCUCCUUGUAGCAGCUAAACUUUUCAACUCCUAUUUAAGGUCUGCUGGUCAUGGGAAUUACAUGUACAGAUUGUUAUAGUCUUGUACUUGUCCGUUGGACUUGAUCAUCUUUCGAGGUCCCUUCCAAUCCCUGGCAUUCUGUGAUUCUGUGAUCUUCAAUAAAUCUUUCAAGCAGAAAAGUAUGGUAAGGAGAUAAAUUAGCUAUCAAGGUGUUCCUGGCACAUUGCUGAAGAUUUUCACAUAUCUACAGUUAAAGAAAACAGCCUACUCUGAAGUACCAAUAAAUAAUAAAAGAUCAAGUUGUUAAGGAGCAGCGAUGGAGAAUCAUGGUAGGACAGGAAAAGGAUUAGAAAUGGAGCAUCACUGCAGAAAUUUGCUAUACAUUUGGUCUAAGAAACUAAGCAGUCAUCAAAGGCUGAAGUGGAUUUCAUUCCUGAUUUUCAGAUAGCUACUCUCUUGUAGUCAGUAAAGGAGGUUACAGAUCACAAAAGAAGAAAUCUGCUCUCCUAACCUGGACUGUGACUGUGGAGAGAAUGUUUAAUGUAUGUGGUAGGAAGAUAGCAAGCACAAGGCACAACCUACUUGUUUAUCUCCUAGCACCAAGGAAGCAGAAAGCUGAGGACAAACAGUUCCUGGCAGCUAGAAUCUGGAAAGCUAAAAGGGGGAAAUGAACAAGUGUCAGAAACUAGCAGCUUCGUUCCAGGGUAGAUCACAGAAUUGGAAAGAGAAGGAGAAACAGCUUCAGGGUGCUUUCUUGAGGUGAAUAGGCCUAAUCGAACAUCACAAUGAACUUGUCUCCUACUCCAUUUAGACUUUAACUUGAGCCGCAGCAUAUCCAAGUUUCUCUGUUCCUGCACUGUCAUCAGACAUCCGUGAAGUAAAGACUGGUGUGGAGCAUGUCAUCCCUUAGCCAGUGCUGACUUAGUAAAGGGAUUUGUGAUGGUAUUUCUCCAGGUAAUAGAAUAACUGACAUCUAUGCCUAGGAUACAAGGAUUUAAAACUCCUACUUGUAUCAAACGUAAUACAAUACUGAAGUAGGCAGUGGGAAUAGUAGCCUGUACAGAAAGAAGGCUGUAAAAAUGUUUUAAGAAGAAAUGAAUAGUCAAGAGGAAGCAAACAAAAGAAAAUUAUUUGAAAGUCAAAUGUAAUAAGUCACUGAGAUGUAAUUUCUAAUACUGUUGUUAAAAUAUAAUCUUAUAUUGCAUAUUUAUAAGGUGCUUAGUUUACUCUGCUCUUCUCUCUCCUGGAAUGAAUAGAUUAUUUUUUAUUAUUUUAAAGGAAAAUGGUUGACAAAGGAGUGCCCUACUGUAUAUUCAUUUUUCAGGGACUCUUACUAGAGAUCACUAUCUAAUUAAUUUCCUGCUCUGUGAUAGGAUGUUAUUUCUUUUCAGUUGUUAGUAUUCUGUUGUCUAAAUAGACAGUAUUUUUCAGAAGUAUGAUAUUCCUCCAAGUUCUUAUUUCUAGUCCCCAUUUUUGUGCUUUAAAUAAAGAGUAUGUGCUCUUUAGUAGAGACUGAAGUGUAAUUACAUGCAGUUGCCACAUACACUUUGUGAUGGUUUAUGCAAACACCAACAUAAGUAAGUUAUUUUAACUGAGAGUCAACAAACUGAUAGCAAAUACAAGUCUUUCUGGUUUUUAAAAAUGUUAACUACUUCACAAGCAAUUUUUAAAAAUGUUUUCUUGAAGAAAAAUUAAACACCCACUCAUUGAUGGCAGUUGCUCAGAAUAGCUGUUUUCUUCAUCAGCAUCAUUUAGGAUUACAAUCUUAUUGCCCCUAUGUAUUCUGAAUUUUAGAAGCAUUGACCUAUCUUUCUUGUUUUGGAGUCUUAGUUCAAACUUCGACAAAAGUCAUCUUUUGAUAAAACCUUUUGAAUAUGAACUCAGCUGUUCUUACUUCUGUUAGACUAUUGUAGCUACAAGUUUUGAGAUCGGUUUUACUUGAAUACGUACUGCACCAAUAUUUACGCUUUCACAUCCACUGAAUGACUGAUCUUUAGCUGCCUAAUUUAUCUUCAUUCACUUUAUAUGUAUUCUAGUUUCUAGACAUUAAGUUCCCUCUAAAUUCACUUUUAAAUGAGUGUGUAUUGGGAGUGUUUAAUGGCUAUGAUUAAGGGCUAGAACUUUUCUGAAUACUACCCAUAACUACAAUAUAUAUACAAUAUAAUAUAUAUAUACACAAUAUAUAUACAAUAAAAUACAAGAAACAAAACUCCUAAUAGUAUAGAAGUUAGGAAGGAUAUUAUUACUUUAACUAUACCACUAUUUUUUGUGGUAAUAAUAUUAUCCUGUUCAUAAUAUGAUUUAAAAAAUAUAUAUAUUCAUUCCUGGUAUAUAUGCACUCUUGUUUUUCCUCCUAAAAUUAUUUGCUACUAGUUCUGUAAUAAAUCACUCUAUUGGCAAGAUCACUCAUGAGUCAGUAACAGCUAUUUCUCAUUGUUGAGUUCUCUUAGCCACUAUUAGCCCUAUGCUAGGACUUUGGAUGGAGUAGGCACUUGGUGUCCAAGCAAUGUGCUGCUAGAUUCAUCAGUGUUAUGUGUUUUACGCUAAACAAGGGUCACUCAUUUUAUCUUAAUUGACUGUUUUUAUUGCUAGUGUUCCUAUCUAUACUACACAUUACAAACAGUACUGUAUAAGAAGGUGAAUUAGAAAGUUUUCUUUUUAUUUUCCUGCUCUAUGCUGAGCACCAAAUGGCUUAUUACUUAAGCUGUGCUGAUUGAUAUAUGCAUGAAAAUUCUCGUUGUUUACAAACAAAUCACUUCAGUGUUUUUGCAGUAAGUAGAAUGUGUUGCAUUGACUAAGCCUACUUUUCACUAUUUUUGCCUUCGUUAAUGGCCUUCCUAUAGUAGCUAGAACUUCUCCUACUGUGGUUUCCCUUCUGUGGUUGGCUGUUAUCAAGAAAAUUGAACUUUCUAGCUGUUUGGAAAGCUAAUGAGAACUUUUUUUAUUAUUAUUAUUAUUUUUUCCCCCCCCUGGUUGGGAGGAGUUUCUUUUCCACUUGACAUUUGUAGGGAAGGAUGCAUUAGCAGAAUUGCGGAGAGGAUGCUGGCAAGGUGGUGCUGAGAGAGAAUUUACUCAAUUCUAGUGUCAGAAGCUCACAGUAUAGGAGAAGUUUUUCAAGUUUUCAGGCAUGCAAGUUUUUUGGCCAAAAGGAAUAGAAACAUGGUUAUAUUCUCUACAGAAACUGAAAAAGAGAUUUCAGCAUUUAGCCUCUGUGUUUUGCAGGUAUCUCCUGGUAGGCAGAGAACUAAUGUGAAAAUUUCAUAACAAACUGGCAGUAUCUCAAAGGUUAUUAGUCCACUUGUUGAGAAAGAUCAAUUGCAUCAUUGACUGUCAUAGGAAAAGAACAGUGUAUACCUGUUAUCUUUCGAUAAUUCUUCAGCCAAAUCAGAGGAGGUAAAAAUAUAUAGUUCAGUAUAAUUAAACAAAGAGUUACUUCUCAGAAUAAGAUUAGGAAGAAGGUAUAGAGUCACUAUCUGCAGUUGUUGGAAUUAGUUGGGCAGUACAAAUGUGAACUGUUAUUGUCUUAAUUUAUAUCCAAAAUAUAGUGUAAAAGAAGGAAUCAGUGCAUGCCAGAAACUUAAAGUAUAUCUGAGAGCAUUAAAUGAUUUGUGCUUUCAGCUCUUGGAUUAUUUCAGUAAUAAAGGAAUAUCUGCUUGUUUAUUCUUAACUCUAGUCUCUGAUACAGAUGGAAAGCCCACUGUUGUACUUUGUGUCCAUGCUGUGAAAAUACUACUCUCCAACAAGCACAUUUUCAGCUAGAAAGAUGAAGUACUGAGGCUUCCAACUCUUUAUAGUAUUUAAUGUGGGGUCAUCUGCUAUAUACCUCAUAUAGACAUGAAGUAAAGAGAGAACAAGCUAGAUACAGAUAGCAAUUCAUUUUUACUUCAAUGUUGAAGUCUUGAACUAGAGCUUAAUUUGUUAAUGAAAUUACAUUGUUGAUAAACACGUGUAAGAAAUUAUGAGAGAAAUAUCUGAACAUGUGUUGUAGUUUUGCAGCUCCCUGGCAACACUCAACACUCAUUCUUUUCUUUUUUAGGCCUAAAAGUCAGUUUCUGGGAAGCUGAUGUUAAGUGAGGUGUUUUAUGACAUAGCAUUAGCUAUGAACUCUUUGACAGUAAUACAUCUAUAAAACAAAACAAAAUGCCCCACAGUGCUUCAGCAGAGUACAUUUUCUGGAACUAAAAAUAUAUAAAUUGAACACCUGUAGAAUUCUCCUUUCUAACGAUUUAUAAUGCUUAAUUUCAGUGUCCAGAUGAUUUUGUUUUACUAGCAUUAACCCUAGAAUAAAUCUAACCUUGUUUUAAACAAAAAACAAUGUUGUGUUGAGGAAUCAAAAAUAUUGAUGCCAUAAAUUAAAUUAACAAAAUGUAGAUUAUUGAUUUUUGGUAUUAUAUAUUAUUAGCACUUUCAUGACAAGCAGGUUUUUUAGGUGUCACAAAUAUUGCAGAUAUCUUCACAGUUUAUUGCUCUCAUCCUCUAAAAUUGUUUACAAAUAAAUUUUUUAGCUUGGAACUCUUAAAUCUUUACCAGCAUCCUGAAUUUCUAAUCUCUAACUGGUAAGACAAAUUACCUUCAAGAAGUAGAGCAAGAAUGUUUCUCUAGACUCCUUGAAUUUUUGUUGUUUUUUUCUUCAGCAUCAGUUUCCACAGUGGAAAUACUAUGACAGUGUUGUUAACAAAAAGAUACAAAAACCUACUUAUCUUCUUCUUACCUCUUCUCCUUACUUACUUGCUGUUGCUUUUUAAUUCAGAAGCUCAUGGAAACAUAUUGAGGUAAUGAAAAGACAUACUGAUAUUUAAGUAUUAUUUACUUCAGCAUUCUUGCCUUUCAAACAGUUUUAGCUCUUUAAACUUGCAUUUUUGGUCAGUUUUCAAUGCACUGGUUGCCUAUUCAGAUUGUAUGCGUGCACAAAGCUUUAAUCUGUCAGACUGUAUACACACAGACACUUGCAACCAAAUGGAAAUAGCUUGCUUGCUAAAUUACUUGCGUGAUUGUUUUGCACAGGAAAUUGUGUGUGCAAAUACCUUGAUUAAAUUCAGGUUUUUCGUGCUAAGUUCUGAAAAUCUAUUGCUGCAAAAAAGUAAAUUUACAUAUAAAUGUACUCCUGCUAGAAGUUUAAUCCCAAUUUAGUCCUGUCAACAAAAGUUAAGCUUAUAUAUACAAAGGAGUAGUCUGAUAGAUUUACAAUCAGGUAUGAUGCAUAUGACUUUGAAUGUGAUGUUAGUUACUACUGUUUGAAUUGGCAGAUAAUUAUAAGUUGUAGACUGAAGCCCUGGGAACCUGAAUGUUGUUAUUUAAAAGUUACUAAAUUGAGUUUCCCAAGUUUGAGAUAAAAAAAGUUGCCUUUGAUUAGUGGGUAGAUAAGGUUAAAGGAAAGAAAACAACAGAUAUACAAUCUGUGGGAAAAAAAAAAAAGAUUGGAACCUAGGUACUUGUGAUUUUCUCUAGAAAGCAAGCUAAUAGAUUAAAAACUGUUACAAAUGGUUUCAAAAAUAUUAUUCGGAGUACUUUGGGUAUCAUUUGGCAUUGUUGCUGAAUCAACACAAUUGAAUCUGAGUAACAUUAAUACUGAAAAAAAACCUGAUAAAAAAUCCAUUUCUUUCUGUUUUUUCUUUCUUUCUUUUUUUUUUUCAUCAUCUUUAGGAAUCUGUGAUCAAGUUAGCUGAACUGGGAAUGGAUUGUAAAAGAGAAGGCAGUUCCAUAAGUGCAGUUCAGAAAAAACAAACCGUGCUUUCAUGCUGUUAUUAACGCAGUUAAUUGUAAAGAUCAUCAUUGUACAGCAGUUUAUUCUCUUUCUGUAUACUCUGAUCAUAUGUGAAAUAAUACAUUUGAUGCAUAAUCAUUAAUAAAUUUAUUAAUAAAUUUAUAUUCUGACCACCGUU